rnacentral:rRNA from 1 species
GGAAACCAAUGCGGGGCAACCCGGUAAAUGGUGAUUCAUAAUAACUUUCGGAUCGGUCUUCGGAUCGAUGCUUCAUUCAAGUUUCUGCCCUAUCAGCUUUGGAUGGUAGGGUAUUGGCCUACCAUGGCUUUAACGGGUAACGGAGAAUUAGGGUUCGAUUCCGGAGAGGGAGCCUGAGAAAUGGCUACCACAUCCAAGGAAGGCAGCAGGCGCGUAAAUUACCCAAUCCCGACACAGGGAGGUAGUGACAAUAAAUAACAAUGCCGGGCUUUUAUAAGUCUGGCAAUUGGAAUGAGAACAAUUUAAAUCCCUUAUCGAGGAUCAAUUGGAGGGCAAGUCUGGUGCCAGCAGCCGCGGUAAUUCCAGCUCCAAUAGCGUAUACUAAAGUUGUUGCAGUUAAAAAGCUCGUAGUUGAAUUUCUGGUCUCGGACAUCGGUCUGCCUCGAACGAGGUACGUACCAGUUGUCUGAAUCCAUCCUCGGGGAAAACAUGUCUGUCAUUCAGUUGAUGGGCAUGGGAUCCUCGUCAUUUACUGUGAGCAAAAUAG